AUGUUAGCUUCGAAGGACCAAUUAUUUCAACGGGGAAUAUUUGCCUCUCCUUCCGAUCUCAAUUGCAUUUUUUGUUCUGAAGUUAACGAGAAUUUGGAUCACUUAUUACUGUCUUGUUCCGUUUCUAAAACAGUGUGGCCAAUUAUUGAGAAUUGGGUGAGUAAGUCAACUUUGGAUCAUGAAGAUAUUUGUGGUAGCUUCUUAGAUUGGAAUGAUUUUUCAUAUCCAGGAAGGUGA